CCUACGGGUGGCAGCAGUAGGGAAUCUUUCACAAUGGGCGAAAGCCUGAUGGAGCAACGCCGCGUGCAGGAUGAAGGCCUUCGGGUUGUAAACUGCUUUUAUAAGCGAGAAAUAUGAUGGUAACUUAUGAAAAAGCAUCGGCUAACUCCGUGCCAGCAGCCGCGGUAAUACGGAGGAUGCAAGCGUUAUCCGGAUUUAUUGGGUGUAAAGGGCGUGUAGGCGGGAAAGCAAGUCAGAUGUGAAAACUCAGGGCUCAACCCUGAGCCUGCAUUUGAAACUGUUUUUCUUGAGUGCUGGAGAGGCAAUCGGAAUUCCGUGUGUAGCGGUGAAAUGCGUAGAUAUACGGAGGAACACCAGUGGCGAAGGCGGAUUGCUGGACAGUAACUGACGCUGAGGCGCGAAAGCGUGGGGAGCAAACAGGAUUAGAUACCCGGGUAGUC
rnacentral:rRNA from 1 species